GUUGAUUAAUUAGAUGCUAUGUGCAGUGAGUGAGAUGAAAGUAAAGACGUCAAGGCAAUCACAAACACAAUGAUUUUAUAGUGGUUCGGAGCUAACCCUUGCUCCUACGUCCACUCCCCAAGCCUCACUUGGGAAUUCACUAUAACCCCUCGGAUUACAGCCGGUUGUUUUACAAGCUCUCAACCCAACUUGUUGUUUUACGAGGUCACAACGAACUC
rnacentral:lncRNA from 1 species